rnacentral:rRNA from 1 species
GGAGUUAGCCGGUGCUUCUUCUGUGAGUGAUGUCCUUCCUGCCGGUUAUUGACCCGCAGGCCUUCUUCCUCACUGAAAGUGCUUUACAACCCGAAGGCCUUCUUCACACACGCGGCAUGGCUGGAUCAGGGUUGCCCCCAUUGUCCAAUAUUCCCCACUGCUGCCUCCCGUAGGAGUCUGGGCCGUGUCUCAGUCCCAGUGUGGCUGAUCAUCCUCUCAGACCAGCUACGGAUCGUCGCCUUGGUGAGCCGUUACCUCACCAACCAGCUAAUCCGACAUAGGCUCAUCCGAUAGCGCGAGGCCCGAAGGUCCCCCGCUUUCCCCCGUAGGGCGUAUGCGGUAUUAGCCUGGGUUUCCCCCAGGUUAUCCCCCACUACCGGGCAGAUUCCUAUGCAUUACUCACCCGUCCGCCGCUCGCCACCAGGGAGCAAGCUCCCCGUGCUGCCGCUCGACUUGCAUGUGUUAGGCCUGCCGCCAGCGUUCAAUCUGAGCCAGAAUCGAACCCUGA